rnacentral:misc_RNA from 1 species
AGAUGAAGAACGCAGCGAAAUGCGAUAAGUAAUGUGAAUUGCAGAAUUCAGUGAAUCAUCGAAUCUUUGAACGCACAUUGCGCCCCUUGGCAUUCCGGGGGGCAUGCCUGUUCGAGCGUCAUGAUCAAAUCUCAAGCCUAGCCUUGGUAUUGGGCUUUCGUCUCCUGUCAUUUUGGCUGGUUGUGACGUGCCUGAAAAUCAAUGGCGAUGCCUCAAUAGACUCAAGCGUAGCAGACUGACUUGCGCUUUGGAGGGCUGCUGUAGGUUAUUGCUAAUAAAACAAUCAAGUUGGACCUCGGAUCAGGUAGGGAUACCCGCUGAACUUAAGCAUAUCAAUAAGCGGAGGA